rnacentral:lncRNA from 1 species
AUCUCAAUAAAGAUUGUAGUCUCUUGACUAAAAAUUUGAUGAAAUUACAAGUUCCAAUCCAACCGGUUGCUGUCUCUUUGUUGUGUGUGAGUGUGUUAGGAGAAAAGGAGCCGAGAGGGAGAGAAUGAGUGAGAUUUGUUUGUGUUGUUGUUAACCAAAAAAAUGAGAGUGAGGAUUGAGAGAGAACCAAGAGAAGAGUG